rnacentral:rRNA from 1 species
GAGAUGGAUUGGUGGCCUUCGGGAACGUCUGACACAGGUGCUGCAUGGCUGUCGUCAGCUCGUGUCGUGAGAUGUUGGGUUAAGUCCGUAACGAGCGCAACCCUUGUCCUUAGUUACCAGCACGUUAUGGUGGGCACUCUAAGGAGACUGCCGGUGACAAACCGGAGGAAGGUGGGGAGUGACGUCAAGUCAUCAUGGCCCUUACGGCCUGGGCUACACACGUGCUACAAUGGUCGGUACAAAGGGUUGCCAAGCCGCGAGGUGGAGCUAAUCCCAUAAAACCGAUCGUAGUCCGGAUCGCAGUCUGCAACUCGACUGCGUGAAGUCGGAAUCGCUAGUAAUCGUGAAUCAGAAUGUCACGGUGAAUACGUUCCCGGGCCUU